ACAGGUCCUCACCGGGCUCUGCCCACAGCCGGAUAGUGUAAUGGAUGGGUUUGGUGAUUGGACAGCACUUGGAGCGGCUUGUGUGAACCCGCCAAUGAGCAGAGCCAAGUAGUUGCAGCUGUGAAAAUUCAGGCCUGGAGAGUGUCCUUGACAAGUUUUGUUGACACGUUUUCCAUUGGAUUCAUGUGCUAAAACAUUUAAGUUUGAUUAGAAUAGAUUAUUAGAACUAGAACUAGAUUUGUUGGCAUCCAACACAUCUUUGUGGAUCACUUUUUAAAGGUGUAGUCUGAUCAACAAGUGACUCUAAAGCUGCUCGGGCUCAUUUCCUCGUUAGCCCCUGGUCCCUGCCCUGGCCUGAAGUCAUCGCUCAGUUAGGCAGCUGCCAGGCCGGCCCUGAGGGUCCCCAGUGUGUUUUCCAGCAUUUCCCCUUGUCUCUCUGGCCAACUAAGUUUAUGCAGAGGACAAAUGUGAGUAACACAGCGUCCCAACCACCUUCCCCUGAGGAUCACGGGUGUCGUGACCCUGCAGCAGGUACCACUGAUGUCAU
ensembl:lncRNA